CCUACGGGUGGCAGCAGUGGGGGAUAUUGGACAAUGGGCGGAACCCUGAUCCAGCGACGCCGCGUGAGGGAAGACGGUCCUCUGGAUUGUAAACUACUUUCGCCAGGGAACAAGAUCACGCUCGCGGGCCUGAAAGCUCCGGCUAAAUACGUGCAAGUAGCCGCGGUAAGACGCGGGGAGCGCGCGGUUUCCGGAGUUACUGGGUGUAACGGGAGCGUAGGCGGUAGUGCAAGUUGGAGGUAAAAUCUACGGGCUCAACCGGUGGCCGCAGUCGAAACUGCAGAUCUUGAGUGAAGGAGAGGCAGGCGGAAUGCGUAGUGUAGCGGUGAAAUGCGUAGAUAUUAGGAGGAACACCGGUGGCGAAGGCAGCCUGCCGGGGUCGAACUGACGCUGAGGCACGAAAGUGUGGGGAGCGAACAGGAUUAGAUACCCCUGUAGUC
rnacentral:rRNA from 1 species